GCCUGCACAUGCCUGAUCUCGUCUCAAGACCAUGUCUCAUCUUGGAAGCAAAGCAGGGUCAGGCCUGGUUAGUACCUGGAUGAGAGAUCGCCUGGAAAUACCAGGUGUGUAGGCU
rnacentral:rRNA from 1 species